rnacentral:lncRNA from 1 species
AAUUCUGUGACGUUGCAAGAUUUUCUGAUUAGUUGGACACCAUCAUUAUUUUCAUUUUUUGCUUGUGCUGUUGUCACAAGCAUAAGAUGAACGAAAAUGGAGUACACAAUAACAAAAAGAGGUACGUGGAACCUAACCUGACUCGCCAUUCAAUUCUUUCUUCUCAAUCAAUUGCAAAAACCUUAUUGUAACUUAAUUUGUUCCUCCUAUACAUAUGUCACUAUAUUAACCACUCGAUUUGCACGACAUUGAUUUUCUAAUAUUUGACAAUUAAUAGUUGCCUUCAAAGUAGGUAUGCGAAAACAGAAAAUGUUCUGUCUAAAUUAAUAUAUGAAUGGGUUUUACCAUAUAAGGUGGAUUUUUCACGUUAAAUUGUAAUUAUUAAAGUUGGCAAGCAAUUUAAUUACUAUAAUUUAUUGUCAUUGUUAUUAAAUUGGAAUUAUUUAUAGUCUAAAAAUUAUUCUAAAGAGUCAUAUAAAAAAUAAGGUUAUUUGAUACCUCAAAUUACUAUUUAGAGAAAAAUAAUUUUAUUUAAAAAUAAUCAUUAUUAUUUUAUUCUCUUUGAAUGACGGUAAUCAUCUUCGUUUGUCUCUCUAAUGUUUGGAGUUUUUUCUUCGUUCUUUUUCUUGUGUCGGUUUGACCGAUUAUCCCUUAAUAAUUGUUUGUACUCUUUAGUGUGUGAUGAUUCAUAUUAUGCAGCCCCUCUUAUAUUAUAAUUAUGGAAAAAAAAAAAAAAAGGCCCCACUUACGUUAUAUCUCUUGUUAAUUCGGAUAUAUUUGCAGCUGUUCUUAUUUUUUAUUCCAGAAGUUCUGCAUUCUUGGUAAAUUAUAAGGUAAAUUAAUUGAAGAUAGGAUUUUUUUUACCAUAAAAACUUACCGACUUUAUUAAGUUUAACCCAAUUACAGUGCCCUUUGAAGUGAAAGAAUUUGAGAUAAAAUUUAGAUUCACAAUUAGUAUUAAUUGUUUUUCUUUUUUAGUAUACCUAAUAUCUGACUUAGACAUCAAAAUAUUAAUUGGUAAGUGAUAUCUUAGUGUAGUAAUUAAACACCGAGUUGAUUUAUUGUUCACAUGUAAAACUAAAUAACUGUCAUUCUUUUAUUACUAUAGAUGUACAUGCAAUUCUAUCAAAUAUAGAUCUUCUUUUAAGUCGAUCGAUAUUUAUAUAAAUUACACAUACAUAACUGUUUAUAUUACAAAAUAAAUUUAUUUCUACACAAGUGGUCACUUUGGUGACACCUUGCUUUAGUUAUUUCAUCUCAAGAUAUAUACAUAUAGUUUUCGAAUUUUAAAAAAUAAAAUGGUCAAAAUUAACAGUGAAUAGUCAAUGGUGGAAGGGGUCAGGGCUAGCCCGAGACAGGUUAUUCCUAAACCAAUAUGGGCCGAAGACCAUUUUCUGAGUUGGUCCAGUGUUGUCCUUAUGGCCUAAAGGCCAUUACCUCUUGCGUAGCUUUGGGCCGAAGCCCAGAGCAACCCUAAUACAAUGUGUUCAGAUUUUUUGUUCUCUCUUUCCUUAGUGGCAAUCUUUUUUUUCCUUAGAGGCAGCCAUAUAGUUGGGUUUUUAUUAUUAUUAUUAUUAUUAUUUAAUGCGAUGGCCAUAGCCAUGGGUACCGCUUUCAUCAUAAAUUCCUGAUGUAUAUUUUAACCCUAGAAGACACCCACCAAUUUAUUCUCAAACUAAUAACAUUAGAAUUAUUAAAUUUGAGAACACUAAAUAUCUAAUUAUUGAUUGAAAAUAAAUUCAAUGCUCAAUGAUUCAACAUGAACAUGGACUAAUAUCAUUAGUUAGAAAAAUAACAUUUGGUGAAAACUAUCACCUAACAUCCCAAGAACAUUCAUGUUGACCACCAAGAAUCAAUAAUCAAAUACGUGGAAAUGUACCUGAAUCCAUAAUGAGCAAUUGCUUCCUAGAGUCGUGCGGUUUAUCUUUUGAAUCAAUAUGUUUUCUUAGUGAAUCCUUUUACUUUAUCUCUGCUCUUUCUCUCUCUAAUGACAGAAUGUCAGAAAAGAAUGGAAUGAAAUGUGUGACCCGAGGACCAUAACCCCUUAUAUAGACAACUUUCCCUGCUAUCUUCGGGUAUUCCUAUUUUAAUCCAUCAUAAAAACAGAAAUUACCUUCAAAUCUCUACAUAUUAAAGGUUCGUAUCCUAUCAAAUACAUUAAAAGCCAAAUCACUGAAAAUCUAAAAAGCUUAUUUUAAUUGGGGUUAAUCUUAUACGAUAGUUCGUAAUACAUAAUUAUACACGUAUAAGUCUAACAUUGAAUUAAGGAUCCAAUAGCUAAAACCUUAUUGCAACAAUAAAUGACUUAAUAAUAUGGUAUGUGAUAAAGAUUUUCUAAUAUUUGACAGUCAACAGUUGUCUAUCAGGUAGGUAUCAGAAAACCAAAACUAACGUGAAAGUAUUAUGGGUUCUAUUUGGCUUAAAGACAAAACUCAUCAGAAAAAAUGAUUUUGGAUGUUAACAACAACAACAACAAUAAUAUUUUAUUUUAUUUUGCAUUUUGUUCUACAAUCUAAUCUAGCAUGAACGAUCUGUGUAACGAAAAUUUGUUGUUUAGAAUUAGAGAAUUAAGAGUCAAAUGUAUAAACAACAUAUAUAUAUAUAUAUAUAUAUAUAGUCACACAUUAAAUACAAGAACACAUUAUUAACUUAUAUAGUUUCAAUUGAACACUGAUUCUAUUAAACAAUAUGGCUUAAUAGGUUUCCGUAUAAAAAAAAAAGGAUGACACCUGCAUAUAUAUAUAUAUAUAUAUAUGUGUGUGUGUGUGUGGAGAACUUUGACUUUUUAUUUCCACUCAAUAGAUAUCACCAACUAAACAAAUCAGCUGUAUUUAGCAAUAAUAUUGAGGCUUUGUUUGAAUAGAAAAAAACACCUUUCAUAAUUAAUCACUACCGUAUCUGCCAUAUAAUUCACAUUCAUUAAUUAAAUAAACUGGAUUCACCAUAUUCCAAAAUUAGUAGUUUAGAAUCUACCUAAGAAAUAAAUAUUUGGUAAAGAUAUUAAUGCAAGACUCUUUCACCCAUGAUAAACAGAAAUAGAGUUCACAGCGAAAGCAAAAUAGAAUCCAUAGAAAGCCAUCAUACACAUCAUCAAGUACAAAGUAGAUAUGAAUAUCUUCUUCUUCAAGUUUGCUUUCGUAGUUGCACUGCUGGCUUUUGCAGGUAACCUGAUUUUUUCACUACUUAAUAUUUGUGUAAAUUGUCUCUGUUCGCAGCUAUGUUUGCCGUAGAUUAAAUGCCCUUUGCGUCUACGGUCAUUCAAGUUCUAAUAACUAAUUAUAAGAGGUAGAGGUUGAUGUUCAGUGAGUAAGGUUAAUCAUCCCAUCCAAAGCAUUUUGUAAAAAAAAAAAAAAAAUGCAAAUAUUUCUCCAAAUAAAUAUUGGUGGGUGUAGUGUGUGCAAAUUAAAAAAAAAAAAAAAUCAUGGUAUGACUAUUUUGUAUUGAAACUCUCUCUCUCUCUCUCUGUGUGUGUCUAUAUAUAUAUAUAUGUGUGUGUGUAUUAUUUUCAAUUGUAUCCUGAAUAAUAUAUCAAAUAUAUAUUAUACAGAGAUAGCUAGCAUACUUUAAAAGGUAAGUUUGAAGUUAAUUAAUUGAUAGUUGAUCGAUGCAUGCAGGUCAGCAGUAUGGAGCAGAUGCAAGGUUUGGUGUAAGGCGGUGCAAUACAACCGCGGAUUGUGUUCCACCCUGUAUAUGUGAUGGUUAUUUCUGUAAUUGUCAUGUACAACAAGAACCCGUCAAUAUUGGGCAAAUGAUAAUGGAUAAUCGCCAUUCAUGAUUUAAUUUGUAAUAUACAGGAUAAUAGGAGUGCAUGCAUGCCUAUAUUUGCAGAGAUGCAUUUACAUGUAUGUGUGUAUAACUUCUGAAGUUCUGUACUUCUAUGAUGAAUAAUUGUUCAAGUAAUAAAACAAUAUUCAAGUUGCAUCUUUCUU